rnacentral:rRNA from 1 species
ACGCUCGACACCUACGGGGGCAGCAGUGGGGAAUAUUGCACAAUGGGGGAAACCCUGAUGCAGCGACGCCGCGUGAAGGAAGAAGUAUCUCGGUAUGUAAACUUCUAUCAGCAGGGAAGAAAGUGACGGUACCUGACUAAGAAGCCCCGGCUAACUACGUGCCAGCAGCCGCGGUAAUCUGAGCGGGCGUGGCAAGGC